UUUGCAGCUUUGCCCUGGACCAGAAUGCCGACAUUGGCCACCUCUUGAACGUGGAGCUGCUGAAGUCUCCGUUUGCGCUGGCCCUGCGUCGGGCAUCCAAGCAGCUGGUGGUUUUGGACCAGGACUUG
rnacentral:snRNA from 1 species